AGAACGAACGCUGGCGGCAUGCCUAACACAUGCAAGUCGAACGGACCCUUCGGGGUUAGUGGCGCACGGGUGCGUAACGCGUGGGAAUCUGCCCUUAGGUACGGAAUAACUCAGCGAAAGUUGUGCUAAUACCGUAUGAAGUCUUCGGACCAAAGAUUUAUCGCCUAGGGAUGAGCCCGCGUUGGAUUAGCUAGUUGGUGGGGUAAAGGCCCACCAAGGCGACGAUCCAUAGCUGGUCUGAGAGGAUGAUCAGCCACACUGGGACUGAGACACGGCCCAGACUCCUACGGGAGGCAGCAGUGGGGAAUAUUGGACAAUGGGCGCAAGCCUGAUCCAGCAAUGCCGCGUGAGUGAUGAAGGCCUUAGGGUUGUAAAGCUCUUUUACCCGGGAAGAUAAUGACUGUACCGGGAGAAUAAGCCCGGCUAACUCCGCGCCAGCAGCCGC
rnacentral:rRNA from 1 species